rnacentral:rRNA from 1 species
UACAUAGGGGGCAAGCGUUGUUCGGAAUUACUGGGCGUAAAGGGCGCGUAGGCGGCCUUCUAAGUCGAACGUGAAAUCCCCGGGCUCAACCCGGGAACUGCGUCCGAUACUGGAAGGCUUGAAUCCGGGAGAGGGAUGCGGAAUUCCAGGUGUAGCGGUGAAAUGCGUAGAUAUCUGGAGGAACACCGGUGGCGAAGGCGGCAUCCUGGACCGGCAUUGACGCUGAGGCGCGAAAGCCAGGGGAGCGAACGGG